AAAAGAAAACAAAGAUCGAUUGAAUUUAUUGUGAAAAUCUACAAUAUGCUACAUUUAAAUUUUUAGAAUAAAAUUGUAAAGUAAAUAAUGUUAUUUAUCUUGGAAUUUAUUAAUUCUUUGUCUUCAACAUUAAAAUGACUUUUGAAGAAGCUCAAAAGGAGACUUUAUCUUCCUUCACCCCCAUAAUUUCUAAGUACACCCUCAUAAUUUUUAAAAUAACCCUUUUUUGAACAUGUUUUUAGAAACAGCUCUUCUUAAAGAUGAUUAGUAAGAUUUUUCCUUUACUUAAAAUUAUCCACAAUUUGCAUUAAUUCAUACGACAAUGCUACCCACAUGAAUAAACAUUGUCCAUGAACUUUGAAUGAACUAGUCACCACUUUGUAAGUAGAUAACAACAAAGAUGUAUUAGGUAAGCAUUUCAUACAAUGCAACUUAUAAUUUAAUAUCAACAUCAUAUAAUAAACAAAAGAAGAAUUAUAACACGAUAAAUAAUAAGAUGGAGAACAAAAUGAGGAAAGUAUCCACAGCUGAAAAUGUAAAGUAUCCUUAAAAAAAUAUGGAAACGUAUAGCAAAAACAACAUUAAUGAUUAUUCCAACAUAUAUUUAUAGAGUAGAGGUAAAGAUCAACACAAUUCAAAAGAUCAACCCACCAAAUGUUCUUAAGUUGUGUUCUUAAGUCAUUUGAUGUCAUAUUGAAAAGUCUUGUCAAUGUUAUAAUACUAGGCCUUUGGUGUUUUGGAAUAGUCAAAAUAGAAACCAAAGAGUGUGACAAAGAUGAUGAGUAAAAUGCAAAAAUCAGAAUGAAGUAAUUCACAAGUAAUCUCAAACACUUCAUAAUAUCAAAUUUAGAAAGGUUUAUUCACACAAGUAAUAGCAUUUUUUUCAUUGAAUCCUAAUAAUAUAUAAUUGUCUUAGCCUUUUAACCUCAACAAUGGAAAGUGAAAAUUUCAUAAUAGUAACAACAAGUGUAUCAAUCUGAUGUAAAGAAUGUUAACAUAAUAUUUUCGCUUGUACUCAUUUGAUAGACUUCUUUUGCCAAAGUUCAACCCUACUAUCAAUGUAUUCAACAGACAUGAAUAACACGAGUUGCAACUAUUGCAUUGUUGAUAAAUUCUCUAACAAUAGACAUUCUUUAAUCCAUAAUUUUGAACCGAAUGAAAAUUCUAUGAUAAGCAAUAGACAAAAUUCUAAACGAGAAGGAAUCCCCUCCCUAAACCUAAACUUUUAUAUGCAGUCAUUCCUUACACUUCAAAUUUAGGAAAUGUCAAUGACCUGAAUGUCACUAUAACCAUAAUGUCAUAUAAUUAUGUACCAAUGAACUUCAAUUUAGCAAAAUUAUUUAAAUAUACAACUAUCUUAAAAGAGGGGAAGAGUUGUGCAAUUACUUCACCCAAUAAUUUCCAAAACGACUAAUUGAGACAAUGAAACAUUUUGCAGUCAAAAAAGACAUAAGUCAUUAAAGUUUUCAAUCUUUCAAAUAUUUGUGUACCUGUAACUUAUCAUGUACAUUUAUAUCUUUAUAUUUAACAUUCUUGUGCAUAUGAACUCUAAUUUUUUUUAAGGUGUUUUUGUUCUUCAAAUAUGCCCUAGAAGCAUCAUUAAUGUCGAAUGAUGUGAGCAAAUUUGUUAAUCUAUACUACCUAAGUCUUCGUGUUUCAUUUUUAAUUAUGAAUUUAAAAUUGGUGGUUGAGACCAAUGAUGCUUCUAGGGCAUAAAAAAAAACACCUUAAAAAAUUGGAGUUUAUCUGAACAACAACAAUGCAUCAUAAAGACAUAUAUAUACAGAAAGAUACAUAUGUGCUUAAAAAGUUAGAGUCACACAAAUAUUGGAAAGAUAAGAUUGAAAACUUAUUUCUUCUUUGGCUGCAAAAUGAUUCACUGUCUCAAUUAAUCGUUUUGAAAAUUAUUGAAUGAAUAAAUUGCACAACUCUUCUAGUCGAUCACACUUUUAAGUAGUUGUCUUCCUUUUUAAUAUAUUGUAUUUAAACAAUCUUACUAAAUUCGAGUCUAUUGGUACAUAAUCGUACAGAAGUAUGCUUUUACUGUCAUUUAGGUAGUUGACAUUUCCUAUAUUCUUGACCUGAAUGAAUGCAUAUAAAAUUUGAGGAAGAAGGCUUUCCUUUCCUUUAGAACUUUGUUUGGAAAAAUGUCCAUUUCUUAUCGCAAAACUUGCACUUGUAAGUAGAUAACAACAAAGAUGUAUUGGUCAAAUCUGGUUUUAUGACCAACUUAGUCAUUAAUCAAACAAAAUGUUACUUUAAUUUUCUUAAAUAUAAUUAGUAUUUUAAAAAGGAGAUUCGUUCUUAAGUUUAUUUGUAAGGUGAACACGAGAUUAUUUUAGUGAACACGAGAUUAUUUUAAUUUAAGUUACAUUUUCUCCUAGUUUAAUUAAACUUUUUAGAUCAAGUCACUAUUGUAGCAAUUCAUUUUCCUACUCUACUAUGAUUUUCUUUGUAAUUUAUUAAAUUAAUUUAAAAAAAAAACUAUAUAUUUUUAUCACAGACAGUGUUGAUAACAAGACAUCAGUAUUUUUGUUCCUCAUUACAACCGCACCUUGCUGCUGAAUAUAGCAACAUACAAGUGUUAUUUAGGCAAGCAUUUCAUACAAUGCAACAUCAUGUAAUAAACAAAAGAAGAAUUAUAACAUGAUAAAGAAUAAGAUGGAGAACAAAAUGAGGAAAAAUCCACAGCCAAAAAUGUAAAGUAUCCUUAAAAGUAUGGAAAUAUAUGGCAAGAACAACAUUAAUGAUUAUUCCAACAUAUAUAUUUAUAGAGUAGAUCUAAAGAUCAAUACAAUUCAGUUUGUCAUUUGAUGUCACUAGCCCUUUGGUGUUUUGGAAUAGUCAAAAUAGCAACCAAACAGUAUGACAAAGAUGAUGAGUAAAAUGCAAAAAUCAGAAUGAAGUAAUUCACAAGUAAUCUCAAACACUUCAUAAUAUUAAAUUUACAAAGGUUUAUUCACAGUAUGGAGUAAUAGUCUUUUUCCAUUAAAUCCUAAUAGUAACAAUUGUUGCCUUCUUUACCAAACUUCAAACCUACUAUCAAUGUAUUCAACAGACAUGAAUAACACGAGUUGCAACAAUUGUAUUGUUGAUAAAUACUCUAGCAAUAGACAUUCUUUAAUUCAUAAUUUUGAACAGGGUGAAAAUUCUACCAUAAACAAUGGACAUUCUUUCAAAAAAAUUCUAAGAGAGAAGGAAAGUCUCUUCCUAAAUUUUUAUAUGCGGUCAUUCCUUACACUUAUUCAUGUCUUCAAAUUUAGGAAAUGUCAAUGACAUGAAUGGCGCUAUAACCAUGAUGUCAUAUAAUUAUGUAUCAGUGUACAUCAAUUAAGAGAAGACAACUAUCUUAAAGAAGGGAGAGUUGUGCAAUUACUUCACCCUCGGAUAAUCUAAUUUCAUGAAGGUUUAGAUGGUCCAGAUGAACCAGUUAGCUCACAUCAUUCGACAAAUGCUAAAAUUUUUGACAACCGCCCAACAGAAGACUUUCUAAGUUCAUCAAAGAAUCGAGAAACUUAGCAAUUAAUGUGUAAGAAAGGUUCAAAUAUUGAACAUGUUUUAUCUUUAGUAUUGAAUCUGGAAGACUGGACAACUUAAGCUUUGCUAGAGAAAAAAUGUUCUCACAUGUUUCAAUAAUUGCUCUAAUGAAUCAAAACCCAAGUCUAAUACUUACCUAUAUCAUAAAAUAAAUAUAUAAUAUUUUCUUAAGAUACAUUAAAAAUUGAAAAUCCAUUUAUGCAUAACUGAAUUUUUAAGCCAUCGUUUGUGCAAACCCAUGCUUAAUGUCAAGAAUUAAAAGACUAGAAACCUCAUUUUCUUCCAUUAAGUAUAUUGAGACUAACUUUUUAAUACAUUAUCAGCAUUUUUAAAACAUGGAGAAGAAUCUUAUUAAUUAUCACCUCUAUAAAAAGCAAGAUUCCAUGUACGACGUCAAAACGAAUAUAAGAAGUGAUAACGAAGGUCUUGGUAUAUCUCAUUAGCAGGCUCGUUUGUCUACUAAGUAUAAGUGAUAACCAAUGACAUGGUAUCUAAGACGUGGAUGCAUACUAUGAAAUAUAAGUUAAGGAGGCAUAGAGAGCUGCAACACUUGAAUGACAUGACAUUACCAUUAGAUAUCUCACGCAAGGAACUCAUUAUUCGAUAUAUCAUCUAAUACAAUGAGGAAUCUUCUAUCAUGUAUUAUUUCUUUUAAUUGGAUCUGGAGUAGAUCCAAAUAUGUUAUAUUACGUUUUCAUUGUCUAAGCCUAUUAUGUAAUAAGAAUUCUUUUCUAAUUCUUACAUUGUCAAACUCAGUGUCAUAUACUUCAAAUUCAUCCAUAAAAGAAGUCGUUGAUACAAACAAGGCGGGCAACUUGUCUAUAAUAUUUACACGACAAAACAGAUCUUUUCGAGCAUCCUUGAGUGCAUUCCAUUUGAAUUUAAAACAAUUUAGAUCUUCUAAUUACUCACGAAAGCAUGAGACAAUUCUUUUUUUUUUACACGUUUAAAACUUUUAGGCUUAGAAACAACAUUCUCAACUAAGUAUGCCUCUGAGCAUGCUCACUAACGCCAAAGAAUAAAAAUGUUAUUAUUAAGUUUGAAAGGAGUUGUAAAUGACGUAGAAGAAAAAGAAUUGGUUAAUGCAUUCGUGAGUACUUGGCUAGAAAAUCUAAAACAUGUAUGAUAUACACAAAAUAUUGGAAAUUGAGUCUAACUAGUUCGGCAAUGUAUUCUCUUCUUUAAAUUCAAAUGAGAUACACUCAAGGAUGAUUAAAAUAGUAUAUCAAUAGUAACAAUCCAAUAAAAAUUCUAUUUUGUCUUGUAAAUAUUAUAGAUGAGCUGGUUUUAGGUUGAUGAAUCUAAAGUAUAUGGGAGAAAAAGUAAACAAAGAAAAAACAUCAUGAGUUGGUUUUAGAAGAAUUCUUAUUACAAAACCAAAGAAAAAGUAAUUUCUAUAUUUGUUAUUGUUGGUGUGCCGGGAAUUGGAAAAAACAUCAUUAUUUCAAUUUUGUUCAAUGAUAACGAUGUUAAGAUCAUGAGCUUAUAUCUCACACCACAGAGAAAAGUUUUGUUGGAGAUCACAAAAAAUAUUUUAUUUAUGUGUAUGACAAAUUAUGAGUGUCACGUCAUUCAAGUGUUGCAGCUUUUUAUGCCUCCUUAAUUAGUUAUAUUUCAUACCUGUCAUUUGAAGAUAAUUGCUUAUAAUACGCUGAACAUUAUACAUGAAAUCUUGCUUUGAAUAUUGUUCUACAUUUCCUUGUGGAUUUAAGAUAAAGAGAUGGCAAAUAAUAAGAUUAUGGAAGAUAAAAGGUCUUUUCGAAUGUUUUGAAAAUGCUGAAAUGAUUAAAGAGAUAAAAAAAUGUAUCAAAAAGUUAGUCUCAAUAUUCAUAAUGAGAGAAGAUGAGGGUUCUAGCCUUCUAAUUCUUGACAUUGUGGAUGGAUUUGCAUAGAUGAUGGCUGAAUUUUCAUUUGUUGAAUGUAUCUCAAAAAAUAUCAUAUAUUUAUCCUAUGAUAUAGGUAAGUAUUAGAUUUUGAUAGAUUUUAGUUGAUUAGAGCAAUUGAGAACCCUGUUGACAUUUGAUGUUUUAAGCAUGAUUUCCUGUCUAAAGAACCAUGCUAACUUUUCUUGAAAUUGAAAUGUGUGUUAUAACAUUUUUCUUCUAACAAAGUUUAAGUUGCCUAGUCUUUUCAGAUUCAAUAAUAAAAUUAAAGCAUGUUCAAUAUUUGAACCUCUCAUACACAUAUAAUUGAUAAGUUUCCCGAUUUCAAUAUUUGAACCUCUCAUACAAUAAAAGAGGUUUUUGUUAUGGAGUGGCAAAAUUUUCAAUAUUUGUCGAAUGAUACGUGAGCAAACUUGUUCAUCUAGACUACCUAAACCUAAAUCAAUCUCAUUAUGUAAGCUCUCACAAUUUAUAUGCAUUAAUAAUGAUUUUAAUAUUGAUGUGUUGGAAGUAUUUCUAAGUCUUCGUGUUUCAUUAUCAAUUAUUAAUUUAAAAGAGAUGGUUGAGACCAAUGAUGCUUAUAGAACAUAGUAAAAAAACAAAAAAACACCUUAAAAAAUUGGAGUUUAUCUACACAACAACAAUGCAUCAUCAAAACAUACACAUACAGAAAGAUGCAAAUGUGCUUAAAAAGUUACAGUCACACAAAUAUUUGAAAGAAAAGAUUGAAAACUUUAACGAUGACUUAUUUCAUUCUUGGCUGCAAAAUGAUUUAUUGUCUCAAUUAGUCAUUUUCGAAAUUAUUAAAUGAAUAAAUUGCACAACUCUCCCCUCUUUUUGAUAGUUGUCUUUCCUUAAUCGAUUGUAUUUAAACAAUUUUACUGAAUUGGAGUCCAUGGUACAUAACUGUAUAGAAGUAUGGUUAUACCGUCGUACUCAUCUAUCAGAUCAAUUGAUUAUAAAUGUAAUAUUACUUAUAAGCAAUACCAACGCCCAUUCAAGGAAUUCGAUCAUGUAAUAUUCAUCUUGACAAGCAAUUAUCUUCAUACUAUGAUAAAAUAUGUAUAAAAAGCACAAGGGCUGUAGCUCAGUUAGGUAGAGGUCGUUGACAUUUCCUAUAUUCUUAACCUGAACAAGUGUAAGGAAUGAUUACAUAAAAAAUUUGAAGGAGGAGACUUUCCUAUCUUUCAGAACUUUGUUUGGAAAAAAAAUAUCCAUUCCUUAUCUUAAAACUUGCAACUAAUCUAAAUUAUGGAUUAAAGAAUUAAAGAAAGUUCACUGCUAGAGGAUUCAUCGAUAAUCAAAUAGUAGGGUAGAAAUUUGGUCAAGAAGUCUAUCAAAUAAUAUGUUAACCUUUUCAGGUCAGAUUGAUACACUUAUUAUUAUUUCGAAAUUUCACUUAUCAUUAAUGUGGCUGGAAGGCUAAGACUAUUAUAUAUUAUUAAGAUCCAAUAAAAAAAGAGUAUUACUCCAUAGUAUGAAGAAAUCUUUCUAAAUUUCAAAUUUGAUAUUAUGAAGUGUUUGAGAGAUUACUUGCGAAUUAUACUAUCUUGAUAUCUGCAUUUGACUCAUUACUUUUGUCAUAGUGUUUGUUUGCUUAUUUUACUCUUCCAAACACUAAAGACCAAUUAUUAGAACAUUGACAACACUUUUGUGGAUGUGACAUCAGCAGUUUGUGGUUUGUUUGCCACCAACUUAAAUAAUAGAAGACAUGUGACAAACUUUCAAACAGAUAUAUUGUGAUGUAUACAUUUUACUUUAUAAAAAACAUAUGUUGAAAUAACCAUUCGUAUUUUUAAGGGUACUUCACAUUAUCACAUCAAUAAUGUUAUAAUUCAUAAAAUAAUUCUUCUAUUUAUUACAUGGUGUCAGUAGCAAAUUAUAGGCUGCAUGUUAAUGUAUGUAACUACUAGACCGUCUAGUUUGACGAUUUACUGUGAUUAGAAAUUCAGAUUUAACAGAAAUAACACUUGGCAUGUUUCUAUAUUCAACAAGGUUUAGUUGAAAAGAAAUAAAAAAUGUCGUACAAGAACAAAAAAUAUUGUUGUAAGUUCUCUCAGUAAAUUUUUUUUAUU
rnacentral:lncRNA from 1 species